rfam:Triticum aestivum genome assembly, contig: Triticum_aestivum_CS42_TGACv1_scaffold_556593_7AL
CUUGUACUCCCUCCGUUCUGAAUUACUUGUCUUAGAUUUGUCUAGAUACGGAGGUAUCUAGCAGUAAAAUGAGUCUAGAUAUAUCCGUAUCUAGACAAAUCCAAGAUAAAUAAUUCAGGACGGAGGGAUUAUGCU